AGUGGAAAUGCUGGAUCAUAUGGUAAAUUUAUGUUUUUAAGAAACUACUAAACUAUUUUCCAAAGUGACUGUAACAUUUAACAUUUCUACCAGCAAU
rnacentral:pre_miRNA from 2 species